UACAAUUGACUAGGCUCUCUCAAGGGUGGUCGGCUCACUCUCUUUUAUCCCGAUAGGGAAGGGGGUGAGAAUAUGGAGGUAUAUCAAGCGUUAUCACUGAUGUUCAUGUUUGGCAUGUUCAUCCUCGCUUUGUUAACCUACCUAAAAAAGAAAUGACCUCCCUUGAGCUUGACAGGCUGGGAGAUCAUUCUCACUAGUUCUUGAGCCACCCCUUUGAAGGGACAGUCUAUUGUAUCGACCGUAGGUGUUAGAGCACCUGCG
rnacentral:sRNA from 1 species